UAUAGAAUCAUAGAAUCACAGAAUGGUUUGGGUUGGAAAUGACCUUUAAGAUCAACCAGUUCACUGCUGUAGGCAGGGCCACCUUCCUUUAGACCAGGUUACUCAUAGCCCCAUCCAGCCCGGCCUUGAUCAGAGGCUAGGUAAAAACUGAUCGCUACCAGACGUUCUUUGAAACAAAAGCAGUUCGUAUGCUGACCAUGCCAAAGGUGCUGGUUGCUGUGAUUGUCCAGGACAACAGGAAUGGUACUGUUUGCAGACAGAACAGAGUGAAUGAUCAAGGGCGACACAGAAAGCACUUGCUCCUGAAUCGAAAUUACAAUAGCCAGAUGACACAAAAUACGAAGCUGUCACAAUCUCACACUGUUGUUUUGAACUAGUGAAAAAAAUAUUGAGCUAAGUUUCCUUUGGCAGACUGCAUGCUGAAUCAGGCAUACAGUUUUCAUGAAACAUAAUGCUGGCAUAAACACGUGUCGUGUCAUAUGUCAUAAACAUAUGUCAGUUUACUCACAGGUAAUCUUUUAAGGAUAAACCCCUAUUCCCAGCUGCACAUGGAAAUCUAAGGAGAGAACGCAGUGAAGAAAGAAAAAGCAUUUUUUAUCUCAAUCCGCAUCCAUACUUGGCAGUCUUUUCUAUCUGAGUUAUCAGCAGUUAUAAUGCCCAUAAGAUACUCAUGCCAACAAAAGACCAGAUACAGAGGGUCAGGCCAGAAGUCCAGCACUCCCCAAUGUCCUGUCAUCAACGAAUACCCUCAGUUAUGACUCCCCCAGCCUGUACUUUCCCUUCCACUUUUUAUUUACAUUCUUCCCAUUAAGUCACAGAAUCUCUCAUCGAGUUCCUCUGAGAGUUGAGUCCAGCUAGCACUGGUUGGCCAGACUGCAUGGGCAAGGGCAAAGCCAGAAGGAAGAUGAAAAGGGAGGAUCCUCGCUGCUGUGGGUGCUGCUUCAUCCCUCAACAUACCUUUUUCUGACAGGACACACCUUGGGGUAGCAUGCAUUCCUUCCUUGGACAGCUUCAGCGAACAGCAGACGUUGAGGUUCCUCUGCCCUGUGCCCCCUUCCACAGCCUGCUAGUUUCUUUUUGAUGCCUGGGGAAGAAAAGGAACAGCACAAGCUUUUCCCUAUGAGUCUCCCACCCUCCAACUGUUCUCAGCUUGGUGGAUUUCCGUAUUCUGUUUCUAUUACCGCUUUGUUCUCUUCCCCUCAGUUUCCUAAAUUAAGUACAUUGCUGAGAUCUUUCCUGGAAAAAAAAAAAAACAAACGUUGCUACGCUUUGUUCUGAUGAAAAAUUUACAUCAAUUUGAUGCAUUAAUACUUUUCCAAUCACAACACAGAAGAGCUGCCUUUCACAAACACAUUUAAGUUGCGUUUCUUUCAGCAUGGCUGGGAGCUGAGCACACACUGAAGUGUGUUGGCACCGACCUCUCCUACAAAGCCAGAUACAGACUUGAGCUCCUAAACGGGUAGGUUUGGAUCAGUGAGGAGAAUGGUGGAAAGUCCCGGAGGAGAAGGCUGGGCUCAUUCAUUAGCCUAGCACAGGCAGUACCAAGUGUGGCAUUCAAAUGGUGCUUUCCUAGUCCUGAGUCCAGUAUCUGGAACCAUCCAGACUCAUAUUUGUUGUACUGAACAAAGAGCAUGGCAAAACAGCAUGGUAAGAAUAAAAAGUCCUGUCCAUAUGUGACGGCAUUAACCAGUGCUGGAAUUCAGAGCAAAACAAUCUCUUGGGAAUGAGUAGUAUCAUUUAAAAGGAAAGAGUAGGCAGAAGUUUCCUCACGUCCAGGAAGUGUAGUGGGCAAACAGGGCACUGUGAGGACAAAGUGCCAGCCAGACAUACAUGGUGUUUGUGCCUGCCAGUGUCCCAGCCUCCAGCUGCUUUCAGCUUGGGGACUUCCUGCACCGCGUGGCUUGUUUAGAUCCAACCUGCAAUGGAUCACUUUUCUUGAAACUGUUUGAAGACACCUCUAAGUCAAGGCAGCAAAUUACAUUCCUGGUCUGGAUGCGACGCAUUCUGGCAACACUGUGCUCCUGCUUUAAACAGCUUCUCCUGCCCUCCAAACUGCUUUCAUGUGAAACACGGACGACACGAUUUAUGACAGACCUGACCAGCACAGCAAGACUGGCAAAAGCCCAAAGCACACGUGUAGCCUGAUGCACCUCUAUUGUAUGUACUUUCUGCCCAAAACAAAGCGACUUUAUCGCGUUUGCUUUCUAACACUGCGUUUGUGGUGCAUUUUCUUCUUCCACAACCGAGUAGGAAAACAGAUGUCUGGAACCCUUACGAUUACAGCACGAGCUGCUGGGUUUUGAUCAGCAAACUCGUUCGCAAACUGAACGACUUCAGCCUGAAACGUACUCAUCUUGCUGCAGACACCCAGCGCCACGUCUGUUCGUGCUUCCAGGGACCUUCAAGGCCGAAGACGGAGGAAAUGCCUGAAUUUCCCCCGGCCCCUCCUCGCCUCUCGCCUGCCUUGGCAGCCAAUCCUCGCCUGGGGAGGGGGGGCGCUGGAGACAGCCCCAACCCAGCGUUUGUUUUAACAAACAUUUCUCACUGCCUAUGAGGAAACAUGCUGCUGCCCAGCGCUCGGGGAGGGUGGGAUUUCCUUCCUAUUGUCUGCCUGGCUCAGCCCGCACUGCUUCGGAGCAGAGUUGUGCAUUAACUGUUUCGAGCUCUGGGUUCUUUUUCCUGUUGGAAAGUUAAUGGCCAAAAGAGGUUUGUAAAGCACGUAUAUUGGAGAUCAAAAAAAAAAAAAA
ensembl:lncRNA